CGUUGUCCAGAGGGAAAAGAAACAGCUAUGGUCACCACUAUAUUGCCCAGGCAUGUAGCUGUAGUACGAGUAGAUGAAAAAAAAUUACGUGGAGAAUAACGUAAAAUUGUUAGUAUGUGUACAUAAACGUUGUUGGAUGACAUGCUGGCUACCACUAACAAAAAAUAUAUAAAAAAAACUCAUAAAAAAUUACAUGUACACAUGGACACAUGAAAUAUUUCAUCACAGAAUUGUGAUUAAAAUACGAAGCACGUGUUGGAAGGCAAACUCUUCAAUUGGAAUCGUGAGUCACGAUUGCGGAAAGGUGAAAGGAGAUAAAUGGGAAAUAUAGAAGGACGAAUGAGGACUAUUUGAUUUACGAAUGGAUGAAGAGGUGUUUUACCUUUUCCAAUAGACUUUUUUACAUUGGAAAAACGUAUACUGGCCAGUUCUUAUAUGAUGUGUGAAUAACUUGGAUUGCACAUUGGCUCACGUGGAUCAUCAAUCAUCAAGUUUUCGAAAAAUCAUACGAUCUCAUGUUUGACUCGGAAAUAAAUGCAUUCACCAAAAGGUAUGACUACCAUCUGUAACAUAAAAAAAAAAUAAAACAUUUAUCCAAGGAUUUUACAUAUUGCUGGAGUCAAAGAAAAAAAAAAAAAAAAAAGCUGAGCAAGCUGCUGGUUUUAAGAUCACAUUCUUCAAGAAACCAAUUCAACGGAUAAAGAGAAAAAGGAAAUAUUCAUACAAUUUCAAACCACUAAUGGAGCAAAGCUGCAUAGUAGUGGUAAUGAAUCUCUUCUAGAGAUUUGUAAAAUUUCCAACACACAAACUUCAUUCUUGGAAGAAAUGUCAAGAACAAGUUUCACCGAGGUUUAUUCAAGAAAGCCAACAGAAUGUCGUAGUUACUGUCGUGAAAGUGACUCAAAGGGAAGCCAAAAUGCCUGUAGCAAUUUUAUUGAAAAUAGAAAACCAACAAGUAGUUCAAGUGAACAACAUACUUUUAAAAAAUUUAUUGAAAAUGAUAAAAAUAAUAAAUAUUGUCGUCUUGCUGGUGGUGGAAAUACUCGUGGUGGUGGUGGUGGUAGUUGCUGUUGUUCAUCAAAAAAAUCAAGUAACUUAUCACCUUGUGCAUUGAGAUCAACAAAAACUUCAGCAGCAGCAGCAUCAACACCACCAUCACCAUCACCAUAUUGUCGCUCUUAUAAACAUCAACAAACUAUAUCCCAGAGGCAAACACAACCCCAGAGACAGGAAAGGAAUAAAGGUGCAAAGGGCAAUUGUCCUUGUAGUAGUGUAUCUAACGGUCAAGCUUCCAGUCAUAAUCCACAAGAACUACAAGGUGGAUAUUGUAGCUCUCAAAGAACCAACAAUCGGUCUAGCAAUGUCCAAGGUGGAUGUGGUGGUCAUUCUUGUGGUAAAAUAUACAGCUGUGCUGGUUCAUCUGGUGGAAAAUCUUGCUUCCCAAGAAAUCACCAAAAGAGAAAUGGUGAAUGUUGCGGUGGAACAAAUAAAAAUUCAAUGAAUCAUGGUGGCUGCUGCUAAUGAAUUUAAAAAAUUGAAUAAUAAAUUUAAUUCAUAAAAUUCAUUUUCAUCAAUACAUCAACUUGGCUUGAUUUACUAACGACUGAAUCACGUUGACUUAAUUUUACAAAUUUGCCAACAUGAAAAAUUUGUUUGAUUAUGCAUGCGAUAUAGCUUCUUACCUUAUGGAACAUGGUAGUAUGAGCAACAUUAGAUGACCAUUAAACACCACUCUUCAACAUGUUCAUUUCAUAGAAAACUUUUUUUUCUUCAUCAUCUUGAUCACCGGAUACUUGAUAAAAAAAAAAAAAUUCAAUGACUUUCUUUGGAAAAAAAAAAAAAAACUUCAUCUGAAAAACCCAAUCUAUUAAGACAAAGCUGAUCUCUUGUGCCCGCGACAUUUCUUCUCGUUUUGUGAGGACAAACGAGUGACUAUCAGUGACGAGAUGACAUGGGACAUUAGGGGUAUUUACCAGAUUUAGUUGAAAAUAUGAAAAAAAAAAAAAAGGAGCCGAGUACCAAAGGGCAAAAGUUGAAGCGUUGAGCUUUUACGAAAAUUGCAAGAGGGUGACCACUGUAUGUGUAGUACGUGCCUUUGGAAAUUUGUUGAAACGUUCAUCAAGGACCUUCAACAUAUUCAAACACACACACACAAAAAGGAAUAUACUCAUUUGCAGCAUUGAGCUUGUUGGUUGGAUAUACAUAAAAUGGUGUACAUCGAGGUAUACCUACCAGGUGACUUCACUCGCAUACUCCUUUGAUGUCAACGGACCAAGCGUUAAAUUCAUUUUCAAAUUGUGCAUUGACAUACUUUGAAAAAUAAGAAUCAAUUAGGAAGACAUCAUCAUUCAGCAUCAUUGUUAUCAACUUGUAUAGCUGAAUUUCAAAAAGGAAUUUAUGGGAUCCAAGAUAGCAAACGUAAUAAUAAUAAUAUAAAAAAAAGAGAUUCAACAACCCUCUUUCCUGGGAUUUAUGUCUCUAAACUUUGAUGAGCUUUCUCAAGACUUCAUACUGCUUGACUCGAGGUAAUUACUUGGAAGACAUCUAAAGAGUCGGCGAUCCUAAAGGCCGUCCUUGAGGCACGUGAUCUCCUUGAAAGCUAGAUCAUCAGUCAGUGGUAUAUCUUGUAGGAUGGCUUACAAGCAAGUAUUGCCCUUGUUCCAGGCUCAACUGACUCAUCACACAGUUAGAAUUGUGUUUUCAUCCAAAUUUUGUAUCUACUUUUGUCAUCAACAACGAACGCCAGCCAAUUAAUAGACGACCUCGAGGGACUUGUGGAUCCAUACUAAAGACAAGACAACUCACAACUAAUAUAUGGCCCAGAGCUAAAAUUUACAUCACAUUCAACCACAGAAACUCCAAACUC